AUAACUCUUCCGGUUGCUCAGGUUUCAGUGAGUUUAACAUCAAAACAUAGCUACACUAUUGUAGAAUGACACUAGAAUAAAACAAGAAACUCAAAAAUUGGGUACAUGAGAAUGUUACAGGAAAUAGAAUAGCACCAUAAGACACUGGGCAGGGACUACAUCACAUGUCAGGGGACACAAUUCAACAAGGAGAUGAGAGUAAUGGGACUUGUGCAACUAUUAAGUACAGUUGGGAGGGGAGGGGGGGGG